UACGUAGGGUGCAAGCGUUGUCCGGAAUCAUUGGGCGUAAAGCGCGCGUAGGCGGCCCGAUAAGUCCGCUGUAAAAGUCAACGGCUCAACUGUUGAAAGCCGGUGGAUACUGUCGGGCUAGAGUACGGAAGAGGCAAGUGGAAUUCCUGGUGUAGCGGUGGAAUGCGUAGAUAUCUGGAGGAACACCGGUGGCGAAGGCGGCAUCCUGGGCCGGUAUUGACGCUGAGGAGCGAAAGCCAGGGGAGCAAACGGG
rnacentral:rRNA from 1 species